rnacentral:rRNA from 1 species
CCCGCACAAGCGGUGGAGCAUGUGGUUUAAUUCGAUGAUACGCGAGGAACCUUACCUGGGCUCAAAUGUAUGUUGACGUAUUCUGAAAGGGAUACUUCUUCGGACAAUAUACAAGGUGCUGCAUGGUUGUCGUCAGCUCGUGCCGUGAGGUGUCGGGUUAAGUCCCAUAACGAGCGCAACCCCUAUCAUUAGUUGCCAUCAGGUCAAGCUGGGGACUCUAAUGAAACUGCCUACGCAAGUAGUGAGGAAGUGGGGAUGACGUCAAAUCAGCACGGCCCUUACGUCCAGGGCUACACACGUGCUACAAUGGCCGGUACAAAGGGCAGCUACCUGGUGACAGGAUGCUAAUCUCAAAAGCCGGUCUCAGUUCGGAUCGGAGUCUGCAACCCGACUCCAUGAAGUUGGAAUCGCUAGUAAUCGCGCAUCAGCAUGGCGCGGUGAAUACGUUCCCGGGCCUU